rnacentral:rRNA from 1 species
AACGAACGCUGGCGGCAGGCUUAACACAUGCAAGUCGAGCGCCCCGCAAGGGGAGCGGCAGACGGGUGAGUAACGCGUGGGAACGUACCCUUUACUACGGAAUAGCUCCGGGAAACUGGAAUUAAUACCGUAUGUGCCCUUCGGGGGAAAGAUUUAUCGGUAAAGGAUCGGCCCGCGUUGGAUUAGCUAGUUGGUGGGGUAAAGGCCUACCAAGGCGACGAUCCAUAGCUGGUCUGAGAGGAUGAUCAGCCACAUUGGGACUGAGACACGGCCCAAACUCCUACGGGAGGCAGCAGUGGGGAAUAUUGGACAAUGGGCGCAAGCCUGAUCCAGCCAUGCCGCGUGAGUGAUGAAGGCCUUAGGGUUGUAAAGCUCUUUCACCGAUGAAGAUAAUGACGGUAGUCGGAGAAGAAGCCCCGGCUAACUUCGUGCCAGCAGCCGCGGUAACAC